rnacentral:rRNA from 1 species
GACGAACGCUGGCGGUGUGCUUAACACAUGCAAGUCGAACGGUAAGGCCCUUUCGGGGGUACACGAGUGGCGAACGGGUGCGUAACACGUGGGUAACCUGCCCUCAUCUCUGGGAUAACAGUCGGAAACGGUUGCUAAUACUGGAUAUGAGCUUGCAAGGCAUCUUGUGGGUUGGAAAGAUUUUUUUGGUUGGGGAUGGAUUCGCGGCCUAUCAGCUUGUUGGUGAGGUAGUGGCUCACCAAGGCUUCGACGGGUAGCCGGCCUGAGAGGGCGACCGGCCACAUUGGGACUGAGAUACGGCCCAAACGCCUACGGGAGGCAGCAGGGGGGAAUAUUGCACAAGGGACGGAAGUCUGAUGCAGCAACGCCGCGGGCGGGAUGACGGCCUUCGGGUUGUAAAACGCUUUCAAUUGUGACGAAGCUUUUUGUGACGGUAGCAGUAGAAGAAGCACCGGCUAACUACGUG